AACGAACGCUGGCGGCAGGCCUAACACAUGCAAGUCGAACGCUGUAGCAAUACAGAGUGGCAGACGGGUGAGUAACGCGUGGGAACCUUCCCAAUGGUACGGAAUAGCUCAGGGAAACUU
rnacentral:rRNA from 1 species